rnacentral:rRNA from 2 species
UGCAUAUCAAUAAGCGGAGGAAAAGAAACUAACAAGGAUUCCCCUAGUAACUGCGAGUGAAGCGGGAAAAGCUCAAAUUUAAAAUCUGGCGGUCUUCGGCCGUCCGAGUUGUAGUCUGGAGAAGUGCUUUCCGCGCUGGACCGUGUAUAAGUCUCUUGGAACAGAGCGUCAUAGAGGGUGAGAAUCCCGUCUUUGACACGGACUACCAGUGCUUUGUGAUGCGCUCUCAAAGAGUCGAGUUGUUUGGGAAUGCAGCUCAAAAUGGGUGGUGAAUUCCAUCUAAAGCUAAAUAUUGGCGAGAGACCGAUAGCGAACAAGUACCGUGAGGGAAAGAUGAAAAGCACUUUGGAAAGAGAGUUAAACAGUACGUGAAAUUGCUGAAAGGGAAACGCUUGAAGUCAGUCGCGUCGUCCAGAACUCAGCCUCGCUCUCGCUUGGUGCACUUUCUGGAUGACGGGCCAGCAUCGAUUUUGACCGUCGGAAAAGGGCUGGGGUAAUGUGGCACCUCCGGGUGUGUUAUAGACUGCAGUCGCAUACGACGGUCGGGAUCGAGGUUCGCAGCGCGCCGCAAGGCAGGGGUUCGCCCACUUUCGCGCUUAGGAUGCUGGCAUAAUGGCUUUAAACGACCCGUCUUGAA